GUGGGGAAUAUUCCGCAAUGGACGAAAGUCUGACGGAGCAACGCCGCGUGAGUGAUGAAGGUUUUCGGACUGUAAAGCUCUGUUGUUUAGGACGAAAGUGCCUGUUGCGAACAGUUACAGGUAUUGACGGUACUAAACGAGGAAGCCACGGCUAACUACGUGCCAGCAGCCGCGGUAAUACGUAGGUGGCAAGCGUUGUCCGGAAUUAUUGGGCGUAAAGAGCAUGUAGGCGGAGAUUUAAGUCUGUUGUGAAAAUGCGGGGCUCAACCCCGUAUUGCGAUGGAAACUGAAUUUCUUGAGUGCAGGAGAGGAAAGGGGAAUUCCCAGUGUAGCGGUGAAAUGCGUAGAUAUUGGGAGGAACACCAGUGGCGAAGGCGCCUUUCUGGACUGUGUCUGACGCUGAGAUGCGAAAGCCAGGGUAGCGAACGGGAUUAGAAACCCUUGUAGUCC
rnacentral:rRNA from 1 species